GGGUUAGUAGGUUGGUCAUGCCACUGGUAUGAACUGGUUUUACUGAUUCCUCCCUCUUGAAGAACUGUAAUGCCAUUAAUUUGGUGUUGCAGGGAAUCAGGACUGUUACUUUGAAAAAAUUAGAGUGUUUAAAGCAGGCUCACGCUUGAAUACAUUAGCAUGGAAUAACGGAAUAGGACGUUUGAUUCUAUUUUGUUGGUUUCUAGGAUCGACGUA
rnacentral:rRNA from 1 species